rnacentral:rRNA from 1 species
UACGUAGGGUGCAAGCGUUGUCCGGAAUUAUUGGGCGUAAAGAGCUCGUAGGCGGUUUGUCGCGUCUGCUGUGAAAACUCGGGGCUUAACUCCGGGCCUGCAGUGGGUACGGGCAGACUAGAGUGCGGUAGGGGAGACUGGAAUUCCCGGUGUAGCGGUGAAAUGCGUAGAGCUCGGGAAGAACAUCGGUGGCGAAAGCGCUCUGCUGGACUGCAACUGACACUCAGGGACGAAAGCUAGGGGAGCGAAUGGG